rnacentral:rRNA from 1 species
CAUUAGCUAGUUGGUGAGGUAACGGCUCACCAAGGCCACGAUGCAUAGCCGACCUGAGAGGGUGAUCGGCCACAUUGGGACUGAGACACGGCCCAAACUCCUACGGGAGGCAGCAGUAGGGAAUCUUCGGCAAUGGACGAAAGUCUGACCGAGCAACGCCGCGUGAGUGAAGAAGGUUUUCGGAUCGUAAAACUCUGUUGUUAGAGAAGAACAAGGAUGAGAGUAACUGUUCAUCCCUUGACGGUAUCUAACCAGAAAGCCACGGCUAACUACGUGCCAGCAGCCGCGGUAAUACGUAGGUGGCAAGCGUUGUCCGGAUUUAUUGGGCGUAAAGCGAGCGCAGGCGGUUUCUUAAGUCUGAUGUGAAAGCCCCCGGCUCAACCGGGGAGGGUCAUUGGAAACUGGGAGACUUGAGUGCAGAAGAGGAGAGUGGAAUUCCAUGUGUAGCGGUGAAAUGCGUAGAUAUAUGGAGGAACACCAGUGGCGAAGGCGGCUCUCUGGUCUGUAACUGACGCUGAGGCUCGAAAGCGUGGGGAGCAAACAGGAUUAGAUACCCUGGUAGUCCACGCCGUAAACGAUGAGUGCUAAGUGUUGGAGGGUUUCCGCCCUUCAGUGCUGCAGCUAACGCAUUAAGCAC